rnacentral:rRNA from 1 species
UACGUAGGGUGCAAGCGUUGUCCGGAAUUAUUGGGCGUAAAGAGCUCGUAGGCGGUCUGUCGCGUCUGCUGUGAAAACUCAGGGCUUAACCCUGAGCUUGCAGUGGGUACGGGCAGACUAGAGUGCGGUAGGGGAGACUGGAAUUCCUGGUGUAGCGGUGAAAUGCGCAGAUAUCAGGAGGAACACCGGUGGCGAAGGCGGGUCUCUGGGCCGAAAUUGACGCUGAGGAGCGAAAGCGUGGGGAGCAAACAGG